rnacentral:rRNA from 2 species
AAACCCUAAACCCCGCCUGGGUUAGGGUUGAAAGAAGGUUUCGGCUUUCAAUUAAGGAAGGACCCGGGGUGCCUUAGUUAGUUGGUGAGGUAAAAGCUUCACCAAGACCUUGAUGCAUAGCCGACCUGAAAGGGUUAUUGGCCCAAAUUGGGACUGAGACACGGCCCCAGAUUCCUACGGGAGGCAGCAGUAGGGAAUCUUCCAACAAUGGACGAAAGUUUGAUGGAGCAACGCCGCCUGAGUGAAGAAGGUUUUCGGAUCGUAAAACUCUGUUGUUGGAGAAGAAUGUAUCUGAUAGUAACUGAUCAGGUAGUGACGGUAUCCAACCAGAAAGCCAGGGCUAAUUACGUGCCAGCAGCCGCGGUAAUACGUAGGUGGCAAGCGUUGUCCGGAUUUAUUGGGCGUAAAGCGAGCGCCGGCGGUUUCUUAAGUCUGAUGUGAAAGCCUUCGGCUCAACCGAAGAAGUGCAUCGGAAACUGGGAAACUUGAGUGCAGAAGAGGACAGUGGAACUCCAUGUGUAGCGGUGAAAUGCGUAGAUAUAUGGAAGAACACCAGUGGCGAAGGCGGCUGUCUGGUCUGUAACUGACGCUGAGGCUCGAAAGCAUGGGUAGCAAACAGGAUUAGAUACCCUGGUAGUCCAUGCCGUAAACGAUGAGUGCUAGGUGUUGGAGGGUUUCCGCCCUUCAGUGCCGCAGCUAACGCAUUAAGCACUCCGCCUGGGGAGUACGACCGCAAGGUUGAAACUCAAAGGAAUUGACGGGGGCCCGCACAAGCGGUGGAGCAUGUGGUUUAAUUCGAAGCAACGCGAAGAACCUUACCAGGUCUUGACAUCCUUUGACCACUCUAGAGAUAGAGCUUUCCCUUCGGGGACAAAGUGACAGGUGGUGCAUGGUUGUCGUCAGCUCGUGUCGUGAGAUGUUGGGUUAAGUCCCGCAACGAGCGCAACCCUUAUUACUAGUUGCCAGCAUUAAGUUGGGCACUCUAGUGAGACUGCCGGUGACAAACCGGAGGAAGGUGGGGACGACGUCAAAUCAUCAUGCCCCUUAUGACCUGGGCUACACACGUGCUACAAUGGAUGGUACAACGAGUUGCGAGACCGCGAGGUUUAGCUAAUCUCUUAAAACCAUUCUCAGUUCGGAUUGUAGGCUG